rnacentral:rRNA from 1 species
CACGUAGGGCGCAAGCGUUGUCCGGAAUUAUUGGGCGUAAAGAGCUCGUAGGCGGUCUGUUGCGUCCGCUGUGAAAACUCGGGGCUUAACCCCGAGCCUGCAGUGGAUACGGGCAGACUAGAGUGCGGAAGGGGCAACUGGAAUUCUCGGUGUAGCGGUGAAAUGCGUAGAUAUCGAGAGGAACACCUGCGGCGAAGGCGGGUUGCUGGGCCGACACUGACGCUGAUGCGCGAAAGCCAGGGGAGCGAACGGG